rnacentral:rRNA from 1 species
CAGUCGCCGCGGUAACACGUAGGGUGCGAGCGUUAAUCGGAAUUAUUGGGCGUAAAGAGCUCGCAGGCGGUUUCUUAAGUCCGAUGUGAAAGCCCCCGGCUCAACCGGGGAGGGUCAUUGGAGACUGGGAAACUUGAGUGCAGAAGAGGAGAGUGGAAUUCCACGUGUAGCGGUGAAAUGCGUAGAGAUGUGGAGGAACACCAGUGGCGAAGGCGACUCUCUGGUCUGUAACUGACGCUGAGGAGCGAAAGCGUGGGGAGCGAACAGGAUUAGAUACCCGUGUAGUCCCUGUCUCUUAUAC